GAUGAACGCUAGCGGCAGGCCUAACACACGCAAGUCGAGGGGUAGCAGGAUUAAGCUUGCUUAAUUGCUGACGACCGGCGCACGGGUGCGCAACGCGUAUGCAACCUACCUUAUACUGGGGUAUAGCCCGGAGAAAUUCGGAUUAAUCCCCCAAAGUACUAAUGAAUCGCAUGGUGUAUUAGUUAAAGCAUUGCGGUAUAAGAUGGGCAUGCGUCCUAUUAGCUGGAUGGUGAGGUAACGGCUCACCAUGGCUACGAUAGGUAGGGGGCCUGAGAGGGUGGUCCCCCACACUGGUACUGAGACACGGACCAGACUCCUACGGGAGGCAGCAGUGAGGAAUAUUGGUCAAUGGGCGCAAGCCUGAACCAGCCAUGCCGCGUGCAGGAAGAAUGCCCUAUGGGUUGUAAACUGCUUUUAUUUGGGAAUAAACCUCUUUACGUGUAGAGAGCUGAAGGUACCAAAUGAAUAAGCACCGGCUAACUCCGUGCCAGCAGCCGCAGUAA
rnacentral:rRNA from 1 species